UGGUCUAUGGUGAUAGGGCCCCUGUGCUGCCUGAGAUCUGAGGACCUGGUGACGGGAUGUGCUCUGGGAGUGGACAGGCCA